rnacentral:rRNA from 1 species
UAGGGAAUCCUCCGCAAUGGGCGAAAGCCUGACGGAGCAACGCCGCGUGAGUGAUGAAGGUCUUCGGAUCGUAAAACUCUGUUAUUAGGGAAGAACAAAUGUGUAAGUAACUAUGCACGUCUUGACGGUACCUAAUCAGAAAGCCACGGCUAACUACGUGCCAGCAGCCGCGGUAAUACGUAGGUGGCAAGCGUUAUCCGGAAUUAUUGGGCGUAAAGCGCGCGUAGGCGGUUUUUUAAGUCUGAUGUGAAAGCCCACGGCUCAACCGUGGAGGGUCAUUGGAAACUGGAAAACUUGAGUGCAGAAGAGGAAAGUGGAAUUCCAUGUGUAGCGGUGAAAUGCGCAGAGAUAUGGAGGAACACCAGUGGCGAAGGCGACUUUCUGGUCUGUAACUGACGCUGAUGUGCGAAAGCGUGGGGAUCAAACAGG